UCCGUUGCCAGUGAUUCGCCGCCGCUGAAGCUCGUCACUGCUGCCGUGCCACCGCCGCGGAGAGAGGAAGUGACGCGAUUAAAGAGAGGAGGAGGAAGGAGACCCGUGCACCGUCGGAGGCAGUUUUGCCCAGUCGCCGGCGUCGUCUUCGUCUGAACCACCACCAGAUCCAUCGCUACCGAAGCUUCUAGCUGCGCCUCUGCCAUCGGCGGAGCUUGCCGUCAUGGGAGGGUUUGCUAUCUCAGUCCCUUGAAGUUACCGCCGGUUCUGUUCUUGCCGGUGAGGGUCGUCGGAGCUGCCGCAAUUCCAGUCUCUUGUUCCUCUGAUAAGGUUAUUCUGUCAAACCACAGUAGAUUAUUAGAUUUACCGCUAUUGUCGUUUUGUAGCAGCCUCGCGGUGUUGUUCCAUGGUCGCUGUUGUUGGAAGAGGCAGUCGAAGUGGCUGCCAUGAAUUAAAAGGAAAGGGAGUUGUUACAAUAGGUUUAUGCGAACUUGAGUAAUUGAGGAGUUGUGGUUGCUGCAUAAGCGGUUUGGAGCUGAGGCUGCAGCUGCCACUGAUUGCGGGCCGAAAAGAAAGGGCCUCUUGAUGCGUUUGGUUUAUGGGUUUCGAUUAUUCGAGGAACCAGAUGAAGAAGCAUUAAGAGAAGUUAUACUGCG